CCACAACUUUGAGUGGCUAGUUGGAAUGCCACCAACUGAACGGGCUCUAGUGGUGUUGUUGAACGACCUAGGUGGCCAAGUUUGAACGAAACCUGCAAGAUGAACCCAGGGGGAGCACCUUCACCUGCAAGAUGAACAGAAAAUGCACACUAAAGUGACCUGAAGAAUCACCUGAUGUUGAAGUGAACAUACACAAGAUAAGGAGAUGAACAUCCAGGGGGAGGUGGGGAAAAGCUAGCACCUCCUUUAGCUGCGUAGAACGGCUUAGCGCUAUGUUGUAGAACGGCUUAGCGCAUGUGCACAGUACCAUCGAUGUUGAACUUGUUGAGUUCUGAUUUUUGAACCUUCACAGUAGUAAUACAUGUACAUGCUUCUGUUGUUGAGAAGCUAAAAUACAGAAACAAAAACACUCCUGGGUGGACACACAAAAUCAUGAUAAAAAUAGUGGCAGCAAGAAGCAAUCAUAAGUGAAUAUGCAGUAGUACUAUAAUGGAAUAUUAUUCAGAAUUGAAGUCCAGAUAACUAUGGCACACAUAUCAUACACUAAUUUUGAACUUACAUAAUCCUGAAAUAGGAACUUCAUUUUUUUAAAUUAGCAAUUCUGAAUGCACUAGAGAUGUAAUUGAAUUUUUUAGACCAUAGUAAUUGAACUUCAAGCAUAUUUCUUUAUAAAACAUUUGUUUUUUCCAGUUGCACAAUAAGUAUCUCCUUCUCAGUAGGACUCAUCAGAAUUGUAGACGGCAUCCUUGUCAAUACGAC
rnacentral:lncRNA from 1 species